rnacentral:rRNA from 1 species
GAAUAUUGGACAAUGGGGGGAACCCUGAUCAAGCCAUGCCGCGUGUGUGAAGAAGGCCUUUUGGUUGUAAAGCACUUUAAGCGUGGAGGAGGCUACUUAGAUUAAUACUCUAGGAUAGUGGACCUUACUCGCAGAAUACGCACCGGCUAACUCUGUGCACGCCGCCGCGGUAAUACAGAGGGUGCAAUCGUUAAUCGGAUUUACUGGGCGUAAAGCGCGCGUAGGUGGCCAAUUAAGUCAAAUGUGAAAUCCCCGGGCUUAACUUGGGAAUUGCAUUCGAUACUGGUUGGCUAGAGUAUGGGAGAGGAUGGUAGAAUUCCAGGUGUAGCGGUGAAAUGCGUAGAGAUCUGGAGGAAUACCGAUGGCGAAGGCAGCCAUCUGGCCUAAUACUGACACUGAGGUGCGAAAGCAUGGGGAGCAAACA